AUAUUAUUACAUUUAUGCAUUUGGCAGACCCUUUUAUCCAUACGACUUACAUUGCAUUCAAGCUAUUAUUACACAUUUAAUCAGUUAUUACCAUAGCCAGCAGCUAGUCUAAUGCUUUUUUGGCUGUUUUUAUUUAGAAUACACUCUCAGGAAAAAAGUACAAAAGUUGUCGCUGAGGCAGUACCCUUUCAAAAGGUACACCUUUGUACUUUAUUUACCCAUAAAGAGGUACCUUAAAGGUAUAUGUUAGUACUUUUUGAAAGGGUAUGUACAUGAUCAAAACAGAAUGUAUAUUGAUCAGUAAAUGUGGCUGAUUUGGCAAUCUAUGGUUUAUAGUGACACCUAGUGGUUUGGAUGCAGUAUUAAAAAAAAACAACUUUUCAGUUAUCAGUGCCACUGUAGAAAUGCUCUAUUAGCUGUCAGCCAUGAGUAAUUUAUUUACUGAGAUAAAGCAAAUAUGAUUCAGCUGGUCACGUGAUCCCAAAAUGGCCGUUCUUAUGUCCAUGUAAAAUAAAACAACUGUUUUGAAUCUUCCUCUCACAUGGGUAGCUAUACAUUUACAUACAUUUAUCAAAAGUAGUAUUAGCUGUAGCUAUAUCUGUAAAAACCUUUUUAAUGAGGGGAAAAUGUCGUUAGAAAUAAAGUAGGUUUUCCUUAAGUUAUUUAAACAGUCAGUGUUUAAACAGUCACUGUUCUCAAUUAGAAGAUUUCACUAUUUCGACACCUCAUUUAUGAACUGUUUAACAGAUGGAAAGCUUAGACUGGUGGGAAAUGUUGGGGUAAUGUGCUUCUUUUAGCCUUUGACACAUUAGUGCAUGGGUGCCAGCUCAGUAAGACAUCAGCAGCAGGUUUGAUUUACAUGACAUGUCAAGCUAAGUGUUUAUUUUGAGAUAAUGAUAAUAAUUUUGCAAUAACGCUACAUUAUUACACUUAUACGACUACUUAGCAAAUAAGUGAAUACAUGAACAUGAAAUAUUGAUUUAUUUUAUCAUUUAAAAAAUGAAACUGCUGAGUGCAGUAGGAGACAUGAAACUAGCACCAAAUAGGAGACUGGAUGACAGGAACAGUGUCAAAUAUACAGUUUAGCCUUGUUAUACAAAAAUAUGUGACCUGUGACCAGAGGAUGCUGUGACUGACCAAUUAGAAUCAAGUAUUGCUGAGAGCCAAUAAAUAAAUAGAUGUAUGCAGUUCAGAGAUGUAAAAAAUGCUAUGUGAUUGGCUGAUGACACCACAAUACUUGUGACAUCAAAGAAAGCAGGGGAAAAAAUCAUUUUCAUAUUAUCAAUUGCUAUGUCUAAAUAAUUAUACUAUGUUUUAAUAAAGUAUGAAUAUGAAAUAAUAGUGAUGUGAAUGCAUCUACAAGCUAAUGGGGUUAAUGUUCCCCAGUGAGAUUAGCACAGAAACAUGAGAUACAUUUUCAACACUCUUGAUAUUUUAGAUCAAAUAAUCCUUCGCAUGAUCUGAUUGGCUCUUGUUUUAAAGCCCAAAAAAAUCUGGAAACUAAUUAUUGGGAAUUAGAUGAAAGAAAAAUAUAUAGGCCCAUUCUUGUAUUCUUUUGUAUGAUUUUUGCUUUUUUUUCUUGCUGUGAUGGGCUUUUGGAACUAUUACAGCA